rnacentral:tRNA from 1 species
AGCCCCGUGGUGUAGUGGUCAAUCAUAUGGGUCUUUGGAACCCGUGACAGCGGUUCGAAUCCGCUCGGGGCUA